UGAUUUAUUUAUUUAAUUGGAUCACAGCUCAUUUUAGAAGUCCCGUUAGCAGUGAUGAAGUUCCUUCAUCUUUAUCGAAAUUAAAGUAUUUCAAGGCAAAGCCUUUCCCUUUUCCUUUUCAUCUUCAUCUCAUAUUUUCACUCUUGCUCUCCUCUUUUCUAUUUCACUUUCACUUUCACUUACUUUCUUCUGUUUCAAAUCCUUCAUCUCUACAACUUUCUUCACUUGACUUUACGCACUCUUCUUUUCCAUUGUUUGCAAUUACUUAGUUUUCAUCUUCCUUUAAAUCUUUCUUUGUAAAACAAAAAACAAAAAAGGAAAAGAAAAACAUGGCUAUGGUGGGUGAAGCUUUUCUCUCUGCUUCCAUUGAGGUGCUGCUUGAUAGGAUUGUUUCUGCAGAAGUUCUGAGGCUUAUCCAAGGAAAGAAACUUGAAGCUGUGCUGCUGAAGAAACUGAAGCCAACCUUGAUGUCGGUGAAAGCAGUAUUGGAUGAUGCUGAAAAUAAGCAGAUUAUCAACCCAAAUGUCAAAAGUUGGACUGAUGAGCUCAAAGAUGCUGUUUAUGAUGCCGAGGACCUCCUGGACGAGAUCUCUACUGAAGCUCUUCGGAACAAGAUCGUAUCCGAAUAUCAAACUACUCCUAUAAAGCAGGUUAGUAGCUUUUUCUCUUCUUUCAAUCCUUUCAAAGAUGGGAUGCAGUCCAAGCUGGGGGAGAUCCUUGGGAGACUAGACUACCUACUCAACCAAAAACAGAUUCUGGGUCUGAAAGAAAACUAUAACGGAGAAAAGGCAUUCCAAAGAACGCCUGCAACUUCUUUGGUGGACGAGUCUGAUGUUUAUGGUAGAGAUGAUGGAAAAGAAGAAAUAAUGAAGUUGUUGGAUCCUCAAAAUCUGUCUGAAAAUCAGAUAGAUGUGAUUCCCAUUGUGGGUAUGGGCGGGCUUGGCAAAACCACCCUUGCCCAAUUGAUCUACAACGAUCCCAGAGCGGAUAAAUGGUUUGACCGCAAAGCAUGGGUGUGUGUUUCAGAGGAAUUUGAUGCUUUCAAGGUAACCAAAACCAUUCUUGAAGAGAUGAAAUGUAGCUGUGAUGGAAACCAGAACUUAAAUCAGCUUCAACUUAAACUCAAAGAGCAGCUGUCGGGAAAGAAAUAUCUAAUCAUUUUGGAUGAUGUUUGGAACAAGAAUUAUUUUCAUUGGAAAGAGCUUGCAAAUCCCUUCACUUCUGGGGCCAAGAAUAGCAAGAUUAUUGUAACAACUCGUGAUGAAAACGUUGCAGCAAUCAUGAGGAACGUUCCAACUUAUCGUUUAGAUGUGUUAUCAGAUGAUGAUUGUUGGAAGUUAUUUGCAAAGCAUGCAUUUGAUGGUUCAAGCCCCACCAAGCAUCCAGAUCUGAUGGCAAUCGGUGAAGCAAUUGUUAAAAGAUGUGGCGGUCUCCCUUUGGCUGCAAAAGCUCUUGGAGGUCUUCUGCGUUGCAAACCAGAUGCUGAUGAGUGGAAGAAAAUUUUACAUAGCAAUUUUUGGGACAUUCCAAAUGAUGCAACUAAUAUUCUUCCAGCGUUAACAUUGAGUUACUAUUAUCUUCCUUCCCAUUUGAAGCGAUGUUUUGCUUAUUGUUCAAUUUUCCCUAAAGAUUACGAAUUUGAAAAGGAAGAACUUAUUCAAUUAUGGAUGGCUGAAGGUCUUUUAGAGCUUCCCAAAGACAAUGGAGAUCUGGAAGAACGGGGUAACGAGUACUUCAAAGAUUUAAGAUUGAGGUCAUUCUUUCAACAAUCUAAAGGAAAGAAAUCUUGUUUUGUCAUGCAUGAUUUAAUUAGUGACUUGGCUAAAUCUGUAACCGGAGAGUUCAUUUGCAGAUUGGAAGGUACUGGUGGUGGUUCUUGUGUAAUAACGGAAAAGACCCGUCAUAUGUCCAAUGUCCAAGAACGAUACGAUGUGCGGCAAAAAUUUCAAAGUUUAGCUAAAGCAAAGGGUUUGCGUACUUUCUUAAAUGUGAACUCUUCUUUCCGUUGGGUAUAUGUUAGCAAUGUGCUAAUGCAUGAUUUGAUGGUGAAAUCAAGCUUACGAGUGCUUUCAUUGGCUGGGUAUACAACUAUCAACAAUUUGCCAGAAGAUAUUGGUAAUUUGAAGCAUCUACGAAUUUUGAAUCUCUCGAAAACUUCAAUCAAAAGGUUGCCAAACUCUUUGUGUACAUUGUAUAAUUUGCAAGCAUUAAAAUUGCGUGGUUGCAGUGACCUUGAUGAGUUGCCGAGAGAUUUGGAGAGAUUGCUCAACAUGCUAUAUCUUGAUAUCAAGGGAACAAACUUAGCAAGGAUGCCAGAAGGAAUGGGUAAGUUGAAAGAUCUUCGAAUGGUAACAAAUUUUGUUUUAAGCUAUCAAACUGGAUCAAGCAUUAAUGAGUUGGGAAAGCUCAAACAUUUACGUGGAAGACUUUCCAUUUCGGGACUAAAAACUGUUGCAUGUGCCAUGGAUGCCAAAGAUGCCAAUUUGAAGGAUAAGGUGGACCUUAAAAAGUUGGAGCUGAGAUGGGGUAAAGAUGAUGAUAUUGAUGGUGAUUCAAGGCAUGAUCGAGAAGUACUUAAACAACUAAAGCCUCAUACAAAUUUGGAGCAUCUUGUUAUUCAAAGUUACAAAGGUACGAGAUUUCCGGAAUGGGUGGGGCAUUCUUCCUUCUCAAAUAUAGUAUCUUUGGGGUUACAUGAUUGUAAAUUUUGCAUAUCCUUACCAGCACUUGGGCAGUUAUCAUCUUUGAAAUCUCUCUCCAUUUCCGGUUUGAGUGGAGUGUUAAUAGUUGGUGAUGAGUUCUACGGGAAUGGACAAGCUUCAACUAAACCAUUUCAAUCACUUGAAAUGCUAAGCUUUGAGAAUAUGGCCGAGUGGGAGGAAUGGUAUUGUCGGAGUGAUGAAGCUUUCCCUCUUCUACAAGAGCUAUGCAUUAGAGAUUGUCCAAAACUAACUAAGUCUCUUCCCAAACACCUCCCUUGUUUAAAGAAACUGGAGAUUGAAGAUUGUGAGAAGCUUGGAGGCUUGCUUCCAACGGCACCAAGCAUUUUGGAACUUGAGUUAAAGAAAUGCCAAGCAUUGCAGUUGGAGCCAUUGGCUUGUGGGCUUCGGGAGUUGGACAUUAGAGAUUCGAAUAUGAAUGAUUCCGUUUUGGAACAAAUGUUGCAACAAUGUACACUUCUUGAAAAGCUACGUUUGGGCUAUUGUUCAGAAAUUAGAUCCCUUCCUGGAGUUAGGGUGCCCAUCACGCUGAAGCGAAUUAGCAUCUCUUUAUGUGAAAACUUGGAUUAUUCCGAUAUCUUCUUGUAUACAUCCCUUGAAUCCUUGGAAAUAGGGAGUAGUAAAUGUUAUGGACUGGAAUCUUUCCCAUUAGGAUCAUUUCCUAUGGUAAAGCGUGUUAAGAUUUGGGGAUGUGAAGACUUGAAGUUUAUUAGUGCUGCUUCAGAGGGCGCUCACCAUCAGCAUCUCAAUUCUUUGGAGAUAUAUUUUUGCCAAAAUUUGAUAUCUUUUCAAAUUGAAGAUGGAUUAGCCGUCACCAAUUUGACCCGACUUGUGCUUUUCGGUUGCGCAAGUUUAAAGUCAUUGCCAGAGCAAAUGCACUCCGUCUUUCCAUCCCUAGAGUAUUUGGAAAUAGGAAGUUGUCCAGAAAUAGAGUGGGUUCCAAAAGAGGGUUUGCCCUCCAAAUUAAAAGAAAUUGGAAUCUCAAGGAGUGAUAAACUAAUUGAUAGCUUGAUUAGGAAAAGGGAAUGGAGUUUGCAUAUACUUCCUUCUCUUACAUUUCUCGAGAUCUGUGGUUCAAAAGUAGAGAUGGAGUGUUUUCCAGAUGAACAUCUGCUUCCCUCUUCUCUUACAUCUCUCAGGAUCUCUUCUCUUCCAAAUCUAAAGAGCUUGGAGUAUAAGGGGUUUCAACACCUCACCUCUCUUUGCAAUUUGUCUAUCUCCAACUGUCCCAACCUCCAAUCCAUGCCCCCAAACAUGCUUCCACACUCUCUUUCUUAUUUGUCAAUCUACAAUUGCCCCAAGCUCCAAUCCAUGCCGCCAAACAUGCUCCCUCCCUCUCUUUCUCGUUUAUCCAUUGAAAAAUGUCCUUUGCUGAAGGAACAUUGUGAAAAGGAUAAAGGUAAAGAUUGGCCCAACAUUUCCCACAUCCCUGUCAUUGUAAUUGAUGGUGAGGUCAUUACAUAGAAGGGGCAGUGACUCAGAAAACAAAUGUUCUGACGAAGAUACCAUGUUCCAAAUAUUCCUUUGUGAGAUCUUCCAUUCUAAAAAUGACUUCCUUCCCACAAAUGAUGAAUCCAGACGCCAGCCUCAAAAUCCUGAAGAUUUGCUUGCCUCUUCUGCCUGUGCAUUUUGUGUAUUAUUCUAAGCUAAAAUGUUGAAGAGGAGAAGCUGUAGUUUUUGAAUAGAGGAAAACCUGCGUUUGGAGUGUGAUAUGUUCAAUAUUAAAAUCUCAUCUACGAUGUUGCUGAAACUUAAAUGAAGGAUAUGUUACUUGGACUCGGGCAAGUGCUAGUUAUGAGCAUGUGUCUGAUAUAGGAUGACGCUGGUGGUAAAGUUUAUAGGGGGUCUCAAAUUCUAGCAAAAAGUUAAAGUAGCCAUGGGUAAAGGAGUGGUUCAUGGAAAUUGAGGAUCGGAUUCCUUCACUCUCCUCGAAAUACAAAGCAACUUGGGUGGACAUUUAAGGAUUCCCUUUGCAUGUGUGGAAUUACAACAACACUUACGAAGACAGCAAAACUAGGGGGGUUGAAGGUGAUUCUUCAAACUUUUCAACCGGUAUACCACUGGCUUCAGCAAGAGGUUGAAUGUGUCUGUAACAAGUUGGUCGAAAUUUUGGAUUGUGAAAGUAACAUGAGGAUGAUCCUACAUUGUUCAUACAUUUGAACAUCAAUUUCGUUUUCAUUGGAACAAUCAGAAGUCAAUAACAACCGCCAUCCACCAUCUGAAGGCCAUGCUGAAUUUGAAACUGAAAUGCUUAUGUGAUUGAAUUCAAAUGUGGGUUAUAAAUUCUGGGUUAUGGUUCCAUACAAAUGUUUAGUUACAAUUUCAUUCCCUCCCCUAUUUAAUAGUUAAUUUCUUGUAAACUUUUGCCUAAAUUCGUCUCCAUGAAUUACUGUACUCGGUUGGAGCUUUUAAUAAUAUAUGAAAUUUUUAACAUA